rnacentral:lncRNA from 1 species
CAAAUACACUGAAAUGAAAUGGCAAAGGACAUAAUUCAAUAUGAAUGCCUGGGGUUGAGUCUCAGAACUGCAAAAUAUAAUAAUAACAAACAACAGUAAAUAAAUCCAUUCACAGAUGAGAAAAUGGGCCAUUUGAGGUUAACUUUCUUACUAACUUCUACGACUUGAAUAAGGUGGUAGGUCUUCUAGUCCAGAUCCAGUUCCAAAACCCACAGGCACCGGUUCUCUGGGUCCACACGAAGCUUUCCCACCCAGCAGGGCCACCCCAACCAACUCUGCCUGGUCCCCACAGAGGGGAGGUCGGCCCUCAGGGACACUGUACGAGGCUUGGGAGGGUCUGACACCUAGAAGGCCUGGACUACGGCAUGCUAACGUCAUAAAGGCCACGGGCCAACCUCGGGCUUAACGGCCCACCCUCGGGCUUACCAGCCCUCCCAAACCAGGUGGGGCCCCACAAACGCUUCCCUACCCAGUGCGGGGCGGAGAAGCGGGGUCCAUAUGGCAGGUGAAGACGAGAAUCCACUCUGGAGCCGGAUUUGCCUUCUGCAGAAUGCAGACUAGCUGAAUCAUCAGCCCCAUCGCCCAAGGCAGGCAAAACAAGUGGAAUUCUUCAAAGACCAUACCUGGAUGGGGAAAUCCUCGGGGAAGGCCGGGGAACCCUGGGACAUCUUCCGCGAGGUGCAGGCCCUACCAGGCCUCGGGAGGAGGCAGGCCAAGUCGAUGACACUCAUUCUCCUGCAUUCUGACGUUUCCAGCAUGAAGAAGGUGUCCCUGGCGCUUCCGGUCCCAGGGACGCCCAGCAGAUUCUGAAAUCCCAGGAGGAAGCGCUGCCCAAGUGUGGAAUCUGCUGCCCAAGUAUGGAAUCUGCUACCCAGGGAGAGGGGCCAAAGUGGGCACUGCUCUCCCAGGGACCCCUAUUCCAGUGUGUCUGGGACCCACAAAAUCCUCCGUCCAGCAACCACAGCAACAGAAUCAGUCCUGACCCAACAUGACAGUCCCAAGUGACAAAAAGUUUGAUUGUAGCCAGGCGUGCCUAUAAUCCCAGGACUCCAGAGGCUGAGCCAGGAGGAUCCCCAAGAGUUUGAGGCCAGCCUGGGCUACUUAGUGAGUUCAAGGCCAACCUGAGCUACAUAGUGAGACCCUGUCUCCAAAAAAAAUGUUCAAUUGUGCAAUUUUCCCGGGAAGAUGAGCCCGGGCCAGAGCAUGUUUGCUCUCUACGCUGGAGAAAUGCUUCCAGGGAGCUGGGAUUUUCCUGAACUCAGCACUUUCUGCUGCCAAACUGUUGUGCCUUCUUUGGAAACUGUAUUCUGAAAACAUGCGGUGGAAGUGUGUAUUUUUUUCUCCUCCCACUUCUGCUUUAAAAACAAGAUAAACCUGUAUGCAAAUAGAUUCCACAGUAACAUUCUCAACUUCGUUUAUCAAAUUAGCAUCUGCCUCAUAGGUUAAGUCUGUUUGCAGUGUUAGAAACACUGACUCCACUAAUGAACCAGCUCAGACUUCUGCGCUUUUACCCCUGAAGCUGGAAUCAGCUGGAGUCGCAUAGGGAGAAAGGAUGUCUUCCAUAUAAAGCUUCGGUCCUGGGUACACAGAGUGUUUUUUCUUCGAUUCUAAAAUCAAAAUGAGGGCUGUGGGCUUGUCUGGUAUGCAAGAAGCCCAGGGUUCGCUCCCCAGCACUGCAUAAUAACUAAAAAUAAAACUGACAUGUGCUCCAAUGAAUGAGAUAGUUGAAAUAUAUUUAGUUACAGA